UUUGACCUCAAAUCAGGUAGGACUACCCGCUGAACUUAAGCAUAUCAAUAGCCGGGGAGGAAAA
rnacentral:rRNA from 1 species